UACGUAGGGUGCAAGCGUUGUCCGGAAUUAUUGGGCGUAAAGGGCUCGUAGGCGGUUUGUCGCGUCUGCUGUGAAAUCCCAGGGCUUAACCCUGGGCCUGCAGUGGGUACGGGCAAACUAGAGUGCGGUAGGGGAGAUCGGAAUUCCUGGUGUAGCGGUGAAAUGCGCAGAUAUCAGGAGGAACACCGGUGGCGAAGGCGGAUCUCUGGGCCGUAACUGACGCUGAGGAGCGAAAGCAUGGGUAGCGAACAGG
rnacentral:rRNA from 1 species